UACGUAGGGUGCGAGCGUUAAUCGGAAUUACUGGGCGUAAAGCGUGCGCAGGCGGUUUUGUAAGCCAGAUGCGAAAGCCCCGGGCUCAACCUGGGAAUGGCAUUUGGGACUGCAAGGCUGGAGUUUGGCAGAGGAGACUGGAAUUCCCGGUGUAGCAGUGAAAUGCGUAGAUAUCGGGAGGAAUACCGAUGGCGAAGGCAGGUCUCUGGGCUAUAACUGACGCUCAUGCACGAAAGCGUGGGGAGCAAACAGG
rnacentral:rRNA from 1 species